GUGGGGAAUAUUGGACAAUGGGCGCAAGCCUGAUCCAGCCAUGCCGCGUGAGUGAUGAAGGCCUUAGGGUUGUAAAGCUCUUUUGUCCGGGAAGAUAAUGACUGUAGUCGGAAAAUAAGCCCCGGCUAACUUCGUGCCAGCAGCCGCGGUAAUACGAAGGGGGCGAGCGUUAUUCGGAAUCACUGGGCGUAAAGCGUGCGUAGGCGGCUUUGCAAGUUGGGAGUGAAAGCCCAGGGCUCAACCCUGGAAUUGCUCUCAAAACUGCAAGGCUCGAAUUCGGGAGAGGAUAGCGGAAUUGUCAGUGUAGCAGUGAAAUGCGUAGAUAUUGACAGGAACACCAGUGGCGUAAGCGGCUAUCUGGACCGAUAUUGACGCUGAGGCACGAAAGCGUGGGGAUCAAACAGGAUUAGAUACCCGGGUAGUCC
rnacentral:rRNA from 1 species